CUCCUGAGCUCAGGUGAUCCGCCUGCCUCGGCCUCCCAAAGUGCUGGGAUUACAGGCAUGAACCACUGUGCCGGCCUGUUUUCUAUAUUCUGUCCUUCCCCUGGGGAGGCAGUGGAAUGACCCAGCUCUACUGUUUUCUAGACGGGUGAUCGUGGGCAAGUCACUUCAGUUCUCUGAACCUUAUUCUGCCAAAAAAGGAUGAUUAUAGUAUUGCUAGCUAACAUUUAUUGAGUGCUUGCCUGGACUGAGCACUAUUUUAAGUGCUUUUCAUGUAGUAAGUCAUGUAAUCCUCCCCACAAUCCUGGGUAGGUGGUGUUAUUAUCUUCACUUCACAGAGGAAGAAACCGAGGCAGAGAAAGAGGUUAUACAGCUGGGAAUUGGCAGGGCUGGAAUUCAAGCAGGCAAGAAGUUUGGCUUCAGAAGCCAUAUGCUUCACCCGAACACUCUACCACCUCUCUGGGGUUCUCCAACUCAAAGUGUUGCUGGCAGAUUAAAUGAAAUCCUAUAAUAAUUGCCCAGCACACAGUAGGCAUUUAAUACAUGCUGGUGUCCUUUACUGCUUCUUCUCCAUGAAUAGCUGAGUGUGUCUCAUAUAUAGUUCUAAAAGGCAAUAUUAUAUUUCUGUGAGAGUUAACUUCCCACUGGUAAAUAUUAAAUCUACUUCACACCAUAGGUGCAAGCCCAGCUGAAUCUGAGAGUGUAUUUCAACUGUUAAUCAGUAAAAUGAAUGUUUGUGUCCUUAGAGUUGGUAUGAACAUGGCCAUACCUAGACGGUACUGGCCUUGCCUGAUGGGACUCUAAUCAGGCAAGAUUUUACAAUUGAAUGGCGCAGGAUCAAAACAAGGCCAUUAAAAGUUGGACUCUGCCCGGAGUUCAAAGGGACCCUGUUGCUUUCUAUUUAGGAACUCACGAGUCUUGCAGUCAUAAAGCAGCAACAUAAAGCAAGCUCCCAACUCUAGUUCUCCAGGCAAUUCAUCCAGGCUGUCCCCUGCAAGCUGCUCAGCCCACCAGAUCUGCUUUGGGGAGCGCAUUAAACAUGGUUAUGCAAUGAUUGGGUGGCGGAUGCCAUAGACAUCUGGCCCUAUGACAAGGGCCAUCCAAAGCAAGAGCCUCUAGACCUCUGGGUGGUGAACAAAUCUCAACUGGGGUUUCGUGCCUACCUGGACGACAUCUGCUCGUCAAUGUGUAGUUAACAUCCUGACAGACCCUUCUGCCGCUGGAUAUGUGAGGGGCACAGCACAGGGCUCUGGAAGUCCCUGCUGACUGCUCGAAGCCUUUCUCCCUGCUAAAACCUCUGACCAAAUGCUUAAUAAUAUCUGCUGUAGGCUGUUGAGUCUGCCACACGUUUGACAUUUAUUGUUUAUUCCCACACCCAUCCCAUGAAACAAGCAGGACUUUCCAUUUUACAGAUGUGAAAACCAAGAUUCAAAGAGACUCAAUAACCUGCUCCAGGACAAAUGACAGAACUGAGACUUCUGACUCCAAAUCUUACGCUCCCCCGCCACACCUCUUUGCCUUUCUCUUUCACACCAAUGGACUCUAUGGGUGACCUUGGCAUAGGUUCUUCUAAGAACUGGCUCUUAACAAAAACUUCUGGCCAUUAUCUGACUGAAUGUCACAAACAAGUGCUGUAAGAACUUGCUUAGAGCCUUUUUCCUAAACCUGUACACCAGCUCUUGCCUUGUGAAUUUAUUCACCACAAAACACAUGUUCCCAGGGGCCCAGGCAAAGUCUCCAAGUACCCAGUCCCCUUUCUUCAGCCUUGCCCACACCCUCAGCCUUCCUGUUAAUCCAGGCGACCCAGGGUUACCCAGAGGUCCAGGUCCCAGUUGUUCACUUGAGCAUCUGAUGUACCCCAAACACCUGUGUGAAACGCUCUCUGUCCAGGAUGCGUCCAUAGCGCAGGGUGACGUAGAAGGUCUGUUUCCCACUGUACCGCUGGAUACGCACAAACAUCUCCUGAGGCCGGUCCUUGGUUUCUGUCAGGGGAAUCACAUCUGCCAUGGGACAGUAUGUGUCCUGCCGCCAGCCCCAGAAGUUCAGAUGGGCCACCCGCAGCAUGGUGCCAGACUCAUUCAGAUACAGGAUACCAACCAGUCUCCGUAAGAAAUAGCUCAUCCAGCACAGCAUGGUCAGGGCAAAGCCCGAUAUCCCACUCAUGAGGCACACGGUGUUGAGAGUGAGGAGGCCCUGGGAGUACAAGUAAUAGCCUGGUGGCAAAGCUACCACUGUCAGGGCAGUCUGUGCCAACUUCAGUCGUGACAGGAACCCGAAGGUUCUGAUGGCAUCAAAACGGUAAAACAUCCAGAAUUUCUCAGUCUCUGCGUUUGGUAGUUUCUCCUUCGAGAUGGGUGAACUGCUGCCCACCCACCUCUUAGGAUCCUCCUGCCCACUGCAGCACCACAGCCCAUGGAGAGGCCUUUCCCACACAGCUUUUCCCCGAAACCUACGCACAGCUCGGAGAAGGGCAGCCUGAAAGGGAGACAGUAGACCAUUUCUCUCAUGGAACUCAACCACAUUAAUCACACGGUGAACAUCUGCAAAGCACCAUACUCUAAGGCUUCUGCCAAUCCUGCAAGGUAACCGUUAUUGCCAGACGAGGGAAGGGUAAAGCCAGAUGCUAUCUCAUGUGGGCAUCACAACAGCUAUCUAAGAUAGUUAUCACUAUUUCCACUUUACCACUAGGGAAACUAAGCCCAGAGAGGGUAAGAUAUUUACCAAAGAUCACACAGUCAGUGAGUGCAGCAGAGUCCUCCUUCCACCAGGCAAUUCCAAAUAAAUACAGGAAAGGAGGUGCGGCCGUCAUUAAUUCAAAACAUAUCCAGGGAGGACAAACUCUGGGCUGGACAAUGUAUCCACAAGGGGGUGUGAACAUUUCCCCAAGCAGGAAACUAAAUAAUCAGUGUCUUAGUGGGGAACUCGAGCAACAAAUCUGUGAGAUAUUUAUUCCAAUAAACUUUCUAAUUCUC